rfam:Streptomyces sp. Amel2xC10 genome assembly, contig: K375DRAFT_scaffold00002.2
GGGGAUGAUCGGUUUCGACAGCGGCUGUCGAAGCAGGGGAAGCGUGUCGAGGAAGCGGCAAUGAUCUCGUAAACCAUAUGUCGCAAAAAAUAAUCGCCAACACCAAGAGCGAUUCCCAGUCCUACGCCCUCGCUGCCUAAUUAGGUAGUGAGUGUAGGACCCUUAAUGGGUGUCAGCCCGGGAGUGUUCCCGGCCCGGAUCCUGGCAUAAUCUAGGGGACUAAACCAUCGAGCCCGGUCACGGGGCCCGAUGGGAAAUCACACAGUGACUGGGCCCGUCGGCGACUUGUUCGCGUGAUCGCCGGGGCCGAGAAAAUCGCAGCGAACUGCACACGGAGAAGCCCUGAUUCUGCACCGUUGGACGCGGGUUCGAUUCCCGCCAUCUCCACUC